GACGAACGCUGGCGGCGUGCUUAACACAUGCAAGUCGAACGAAGUGGCGAACGGGUGAGUACUACGUGGGUCACCUUCCCUCCUUUUUGGGAUAAGCCUUGGAAACGGGGUCUAAUACCGAAUAAAGGGUGAUGGGCUCGGGGCCUAUCAGCUUGUUGGUGGGGUGAUGGCCUACCAAGGCGGUGACGGGUAGCCGGCCUGAGAGGUUGAACUGCGACAUUGGGACUGAGAUACGGCCCAGACGACUAAGGGGGGGAGAAGUGGGGGAUAUUGAAGAAUGUGCGAAAGACUGAUGCAGCGUGGCUGAGUGGGGGAUGAAGGUUUUCGGGUUGUAAACCUCUUUCGCUACCGAAAGGGUAGGUGGAGAAGAAGCGCCGGCUAACUACGUGCCAGCAGCCGCGGUAAUUC
rnacentral:rRNA from 1 species